ACUCUGUAGCAGGGUACAGAACAAAAGCCAGUUGCUGAACUCCAAGCUCCAUAUGAUACCGUUUUAUCAUAUCAGCCAACAGUAAGGUGAAGCUCUUAUAAUGCCAUAAUAAUAAGCCAUAGUUCAAUAGUACACUGAGUGCCAUAUGUAAAGAAGUUUUUUCAAGCCUUUUCAAAAUUCAGGGGGUUACAGAUGUUAAUAACAAAUACAGUAGUAUAAUAUUCAUACAAGUUACAGGGAGAACUGCAGGUAUUAUUUCUCUCCCAGUCAGUGCAGACUGUCCCUGCCUUUUCCAGCAGGAAAUGGUCAGCAUAGGAAUGGGGACAGCAUGUGGCUCCAGUCAAACCAAACAUAAUGGGAAAUGGAAAACACUGAAUGGGGCAAAAGUUCAUGAGUUUGGUGCCAGUAAUUGGAUGCUUCUAAGCCUGUGUGAGUUUUGUUGUUUUUUUUAAAAAAAAAAAGAAAAAAUAAGGCAGCUAAAUAAAUCAUAUCUGGGAGGAAAAUUAAGCUCUCUGAGGAUAAAAGCCUGAGUGAAGAGCCAAGAUCUGAAGUAAAAGCUGCGGCAGACCCAUAUCCUGCAUUAAUCAAGCAGAUACUGAGAGAUGUACCGUCCUGACCAGCUGGUUAUCUGCUUCCUGUCUGCAGAGGCAAGAUGUCCCGACCACAUCGGCCCCAGCACAGGCUGAACUCAAAACCAAACCCCACAAAAAUUAUAACCAACAUCUAUCUUGAGAACAACAACUGAAGCCGGGACAUCUCAAACUGAACACGUGAGCCAUCUGCAGCCAGAUGGAAAGAAAUCAUCCCACUGGAACCCUGGAAUGCAAAAGCAGGUGGGGCAAGGAAAAGUUUCUCCAGGCUGUAGCACCCAACAUUCUCCAGCACAAUUUCUAUAUGCCGUGAUGCCUCUACAGUCUCCUCAUCGAGUGGAAAACUUUGACUGGUGGCAGAAAAUUUUCUGAAGGAGAGGGUUUUCAUUUCAGGGAGAGGAAGAUAAGAUCGAAACAUAGUCUGCCACACUGAUGGCCUGCUCGCUGUCAGCUCCAAGUGGAAGUCUCAUGUGAAGCUCGGUCUCUGACAUCCUACAUGAUAAUUGGCGUUACAGUGUAUUUUUUUACCUUGAUGCAACCCAUCAUGGUGGGACUCUUUCUCAGCCCUAGUGGCGACAGAGGCUCACGUUUAACCAUCCAGAACUUUAGUGAGGCCUGGGAAGCCUUGUGUGUUUCUGCUGUUUUAAGUGGACUGCUAUUUAACUUUUUUUAAAAAACAAAUCACAAUAUCGGAAUAAUGAUGUGAGUAUUUUAAACUACUGAAAGAAUAUGUUCUGAUUGUACCUCAUUAACUCCAGAGUGAAAGGUUCUACUACCCAAUAAUCCUAAUUACAAGUAAUAACUUCUUUCUCCUUAGAACGGAGAAUUUCAAUUCACUGCAAAUUCAAAGCCAUUUAACAAUAAGACUGACAGCGGGAACAAGAGAAGAGCCACAUCUAUUCAGACAACAUAAAGCAGCUCUUGCUUUACAACAGCAUUUUGUGACUAACUGAACAACUGGGAAAACUCAGCAGGACUGCUUUUUGAAAGGAAAGACAGAUAUACGUAAAUGCAUUUGGGCAUGACAAGCCAAUAGCAAACGCAACAGCAAAACAAUUAUCUGCCUUCAAAAGACAAUAUGGAAGGCGCCUUUCUUUAUUCAUGUGAUGCCAUUAAAAAGAAAUAAAGUGAAAAAGGCACGUGGGCCGCAAUAUUAUCCCACUGCUCGUUUAUUAAGACUCAUUUCUGGAGAGACCUUCUGCAAGGGCAGGAGUCCCCCAGGCUCUGCUGCAGAGGACGCAGCCCUGUGCUGCCGGGAAAAGCUCUUCCGCAGAAUAAUUAGACAACAAAACCAACUGUGAAAAGCUUUGGGAGUCUGAGUCCCCCAUCCUCAUCGUUCACAGUAAAUAAAGGGUAAGUGAUUGCCUUGGUAUGAAAACAACCUUCCUCUCCACAUAGAAACCUCCAUACACAUCUCACGGCCUGGAGGAUUACAAGAGAGUAAUUACUCUCUGCAAUACUUUCUCUUUGUGUCGCUUUGCUCUAAGGAUGCUGCAUGCAUUGCUCUCCUCUCAGUUCCCAAAGCAAGUUACCUCCCGCAGCCUGUGAGCCACCUGAUCAGGCAGUUCUGGGAUACCCUGGAACAAAGCGACUCAAUGCUGGGGUCUGCAAGGAACCUGGAGACGUGUGACCUGGGGCAUGUGUAAGUCUUCGUGUGCAUAUUGCAAAACAAAUGUUGAAAAGUUUUCAGUACGCACAGACAAACAUAGAACAGCCGUAAAAAAAAUGAAAUAAUGUGCAAAGAAUGGCUUUUCUGGUUCUUCUCCAUCAGGAAGAGAGGAAAGGUCUCUUCGUGUCCCUGCUGAUCCAUCAGGAAUCCCCACUUUCUCUGUUCUCACUUUAACACUGCACCCCACCCACCUCCUCAUCUUGCUUCAAACCAAAGAGGACCAGCUGACGUUUCCUCCGGGACCACAAAUAUGACACUGAGCUCAGCAAGCCGAGUCACAGACCGCUAUGGAACCUGAUUUCGCAAUUCUUGUUACCCUGCUUCCUCUCUUGAAAUGAAACCCUCAUGUGUCAGUGUCACACUAUUCCAGGCAGAAGCCCUCUCCUUCUGCUCCAAGCAGACACCAUAGCUCGUUGCCAUCAAGGACACAGCAGCAGAUCUGAACUCUGGCUGGGGAGGUUGCCUUUUUUUUGUAACCUUAUCCCCAGUGCCAGGCAGCAGAGUGAAUCCAAUUCACAAAACAGGAGGCUUUUCCCACAGCUUUUUUUGGGGAAUAUGGCAGUUAUCGAUUUCCUUUGUUUCCUGUAAGGCUUAUUUCCUGUAAUGACUUUGAAAGCAAAUUUAGAAAACACAGUUGACUCUGUAUUUCGUUGUACAAAACAUGGAAUACCCUUGUGCUUAGGGAUAAGAGCUGAGGGGUUUUUGAGGCAGGUUUCAGCCUAAGCAAUGUCAAACUUCGUAAAAAUUUAAAUUACACUGUCCACAGUAGCUGGGAUUAAUUAGCCUUAUUUUCUCUGGCUUUUCCCUCAGAUUAAUAGACUGCCAAGAGGAAAGAGCACAAAAGUGCUCCUACCACCUCAUUUCAUGGCAUUUAAACAUCCUUGAUAUUUAGUCUUCUUAGUGCUGCUCCUGUAGCCAAAGGAGACAUUCUAAAGGGCAGCACAGAGCCCACUGCUGCAAUGGGCAGUCAGCUCUCCCUGGGCAGCGCAUUGGGAGAUCUCAUCACCUUCUUAGAUGCUUGACAAGAGAACUUGCUUUUGGAAGGGUAGUGUUAGACGAGAGGGAAGUGAAGGGAUGUUUUUGCUGCAGACUUUAGCCUGAGCUCCUACCCAAGUGCUUUUUUCUACUCUUAUCCUCUCCUGUUUGACCAAAACAUCUUGUACCCAGUCCUGCUUUGCCUUCGGCCUCUCCUGUCUGGCUUAUUGGGGUGAGAAGGAUCCCUGGUUCUGCUGGAAAAUAAGCUCGAACACAGGGUUGGGAAAAAAAUUGCUGUCCUAGACAAGUCUCAGAAAUUAAGGAAAAAAAAAGCGCCAAAGAAGCUUGUUCCACAAAGGCCAAAAUGUUGCAAUGUGGAAAGGGCUAGCAAGCCAAAAACACACGAAACUCAGGCUGGUCAGUCACAGUAUUAAAUCUCUGUGUUUUUGAGAAGUUUCAGUGAAAUACCAGUCUUUUAUUUAUUUUAAUUCCCAGAAGGCAUGUGGCAAAUUCAGAAAACCAAGUUUGAAAUGUCACUGUCUUUCAAACAGACCAAUCUGCUGAAGCUUGGCCUUUCCUGCCAGUCCUUUCCACUUCAAACAAUUGGCAGGUCCUGAUGAAAGAAUAUUUAGGUAAAGAAAAACAUUUCUGACGGUUCUGAGAACCUCGCAGAGCACGCUGUAGUGUGGAUAUAAUCUACAUCAGUCAAGUACAAAUGUUUCCUUGGUUUCUUUCCACAACUUCCCAAGUGACACAUAUCAAGUGGCUCUUGGUCCUUCCAGCCAGUCAGGAAAACGAAGAAAUGACUUUGGGGCCCUUGGACCUCUGGUGAGUUCAAAUAAACCACACAAUAAAAUAAAACAAACUAGGCUCUUUCUCAAAACAUUUAGCCUAUAGAAAACUGAGAGGACAAGUGAAUCUUCUUUAACUAUGGUUUAGAUUCUUUUUUGAAAGACAUAGGCACUGGUAGAUACUAGUCUAGAAUACUUUAACUGUCCUUUUGGAUGACAAGACUUUCUUAAAAAGACUUCUCUUCAAAAAACAAGCAUUGAUGUUCACUCUUCCACGUGCUCCACCUCACCCUUCCCCAGCCCUCCCUGGCAGCUCUGUGCUCCCAACCUCUAGCAUGUGGCUUAGCAUGUUUUUGCUUUGGACUGAGAGACAUCCUCCCCGGCUGCUGCCAAAACUAAAAGCAGUUCCUGAUACUAAUUCAGGUUCUUGGAAGAGUGCAUUAUUCCCAGUUGCAGCUAAUUGUCAGGUUAGAGAUUCAUGACGGUAACUGAUUCCAAAAUAACACAAGAGGCACAGAUGCACAUCUUCAGCAAGCCUAUUUACACAGCAAAAUCCCUAUUCUGACUCCAGGCUAUCAGCUGGCAUCCUGAAAUCAUCCUCUCAAAUGUUAAUGGUGCAAGAUAAUAUCUCAGUCUGGGUGGCAAAACGUUCAGAGAUUUGUACACCUUGAAAUCAUUUCCCAGGAGCAGAUGCUCUGCUGCACGUGCACAAAAUAGACAUGGCGGCUGGAUCCUCUGCUCCUCCACCUUAAGCCUGUGUGUAAGCUUGUGUUUCUCCUCAGGCGUAAAGAUUUUUAAAGUACUUUCAUUGGCUUGCACUGGGAGGUAGACGGCAGGAUUAAUAGUUGUUCUUCAACGCUAUAAACUGCAUGGCAUGUUUGCUCAGACUUUGAGCCAUGAGUUACUGCUGUAAUUAAAUCCAGAAGGAGAGACCAUAAUAACAUUCUGACUUGAUUUCCAGUGGCAGAGCAUUGAUUAAGAGAGCUACGUAAUAAAUGAGAGACAUUUUAGAAUCACAUUGUUGAUAUUAUCUGUAAUUUUUUUUGUAAUUAGAAAAGUCUAAAGAAAAUUGUAUAUUAUAAUUACACACAUUAUUAAUCUUACUCUGUUAUAAUACGAAUUCUUCUAUGAUUACAGGUUGCAGCAGGCUUUUUGUAAAUUUUCUACGAGGUCUAGUGAUUUGGUUUACAGAAGCCCUUGCAAACAACAGAUAAAUUGGACCGUAUUAUUUCAAACUAAUGCAAAACCAGAGCAAAUUUGAGUUGAUGACUCAAAAAUCCAAAAGGGAACAAACAGUUUAGGAGCAAUCAUUUUCCUGUUUAAAGUCUGUGGCACAAUGAAAACAACAUUCAUAUAGCAAUCUUUUAUGCAGUCCUUCACACGGAAGUCUUGAAUAAUUGAAUGUGGAAGGAGGUAAGCAGGAUAUUUAAUGAUUAAAAACCAACAAUUUGUAGUUCAUUCAGUCCCUUUUGAGCUAAAAAGACCUCAGCACAGGGUUUUGUUCUUGAAUAAAAUUGUCUUCUACCACAGUCUUAUGACUAUUUAGGGUGUAGUAUAUCUUUUCAACUUCACUUAAGUAAGAGGGGAGUGAGGAGAAGAUACACAAAGAUUAUCAAUUCACUGAGAAAAGUGACCAUAACAUACAUAAAGGUGUGUAUUUCUGGAGAAAACAGAAACUCUCUGAAGUCAGGCAAGACAACCUCUCAAUCACAUUGAUAACCAGUUACUCUUACAAGCAGCCCCACUGGAUUCAUAGGAAUCUAUAUCUCAUGUGAGCAACUGGUCAGCAAAGUGAGUAAAGGUUUAAUCAUUCGAACUAAAUUUCUUCAGGUCUGAUUUAGCCUAAUUCAGUUUGCUUGAUGUAACAGAUAAGUCCCAGGCACAACUAUUCUUAUUGCCGUUCUCCAUGCCGACGUUUUAGAGAUACAUUUGAAGGCUCCUUUUUGGAGAUAGCAAAAAGCGUUAUAACAUGAAAAUUAAGUGUAGAUGAAUAACUAAGUUGCACCUUUCAUCACCUGUUCUCCAUCCUCAGUUUAAUUACAGGUACAAAACCAAUAGGAUAAAUGGUAAGAUGCAUUGAAAGCCGUUUAAGUCCUCGAGGGUUAGCACUUGCUCUGUAAGGCUCCAUGCACUCACAUCAGACAGCAGGCAGAUCUCAUACAGUACUUUAGCUGAAUCAUUUGGCGCAUGUUUGGGUGAACUUCAACAUAUCUGCUAAUGUCUGAUUCGCAUUUUAAUGAAUUUGAUGAACAAACUCAAUUCGUAAAGAGAAAUAAGAAAACUUUUACCAAACAGUAAAGCUAGAGCAAAAUAUCUUCAUCACCCUCAUGAAAACAGAAGUAACAGGAGCCAUGUGUAGUUAAACCUCAGACCUAUCCUGAAACAUCAACAAUGAUCACAGAAUCACAGAACAUUAGGGAUUGGAAGGGCCCUCGAAAGCUCACCCAGUCCAAUCCCCCUGCCAGAGCAGGAACACCCAGAUGAGGUUACACAGGAAGGUGUCCAGGCGAGUUUGAAUGUCUGCAGAGCAGGACACUCCAUAACCUUCCUGGGCAGCCUGGCCCAGGCUCUGUGACCCUUACUGAGGAAAAGUUUCUUCUCAUAUUUAAGUGGAACCUCUUGUGUUCCAGUUUAUACCCAUUACCCCUUGUCCUACCAUUGGUUGUCACCAAGAAGAGCCUGGCUCCAUCCUCCUGACACUCACCCUUUAUAUAUUUAAACAUUAAUGAGGUCACCCCUCAGUCUCCUCCAAGCUAAAGAGUCCCAGCUCCCUCAGCUUUUCCUCACACGGGAGAUGCUCCACUCCCUUCAGCAUCUUUGUUGCUCUGUGCUGGACUCUCUCCAGCAGUUCCCUGUCCUUCUGGAACUGAGGGGCCCAGAACUGGACACAGUAUUCCAAACGAUAAUACAAAGCUGGCAGAGCUUGGAAGUGUGAAAGUGCAACUACCAAUAGGCAAACAGGCAAUUCGGACCCCACAAAAUCAGUAAUCGCCCAACCUCAGCAAGAACAGCCACCAUGCAGAGCAGAUACCAAGAUCACUUUUUCCCAGAACCGACAUUCAUGUGCCAAGACCACCAGCAUCACAGGCCCACCCAACACCAGCCCUUGCCAGCAAGAACCACACGACUCCCAUUUGGCUCAUGGAAGCAAGGCUAUGUUAAUGCCUGGUAAAGACUGCUUGGAGAAUUGUUAAAAGGGGUUCUGAACAUGUUCCAGUUGCUGAGUGUUGAUUCUGGCAGGCACAAACUGAGUCAUGCUUGGUCCCACACUGAGCCAUUGCGCUGCAGUCCGGGGCUCCCUCCAGAUGGUUACAGAUGCCUCUGAACGGGGACCAGCUGGUUAAUGUUUUCUUGCCUUGGUUACAUGCAGAUAAAACCAUUUGCGUCAUGGUUACUUUUGAUGGAAAGUGGUUUUGCUUAAUUCACUUUGGGCUCAAUAAAGGGUGUUUUUUAGUUGGAGACAAAAGGGUUAUUCUGGCAGGUUAUGGAAAUGUUUUGCAGGUUUGCCUGUGAUUUAAAUGUUUGAUCCAAUCUUGACUGAACUCUUUUAAGACAGACAUAAGUGCCUCAAGUGGUGCUGUCACAUUAAAUACAUUGGUUGUCUUGUUCACUUACUAGUUGCAUUUUGCCAUAACAUGUACUGACUGACAAGGAGCUUUGAUUUCAAGACUUCUGGAGAGACUCCAACCUAGAAGAGCAUUAGUCACCAUCUGAAUUUUGUCUUCAUCCACUUCUUCUGGUAUUUUAAGAUGUCUGCCCCGAAGAACAGAUUCUUCUAGCCCCAGUUCUUGUAGGCAAGAGAUUUCCUUGUUUUAUUUUUGUAAUUAUUAGUAAUGAAAAGGGAUGAAGCAGCAAUAUGAAGGAGAAAUCUUCUUGCUCCCCAACUACCCCAGACUAUAUCAAAACAGAGGUUCAGCUGUCUGAAACAACACUGAUUAGACUGCAAAGUGGCACUGUAUCUGAAUUUACCUUGGAAGGUUCAAUGCCAGAUCUCAUCUCCGGAAUAUAUUUGACUUUUCUUCUUUAUUAUAAAGCAAAGAUCCUUUCCACCAAGGAAGACCUUUCAGUUUUUCCCUCUCUCAUAGGAAGAAUUUACUGACUGCCAGAUCCCACUGUAUCAAACCUCCUUUUACAUAAGAUUCCUCCAUCCAGGAAUUCGCAAGCACCGAAGUUCUUCUUUAUGGAUUAACUGAGGUAACCCAAUUCACCUGACCAGAUUUAAAUGCCAGCUGGUGACCAAUCAGUUACAUUUGCCUUCUUAAUUCAUAGGUUUUCUUAAUAUUACUAAUAGGAAAUUAUUCAUUUCUUACAACAUUAUUUGAAAUGUUAAAUAUUAAUAUUUUCCUUGCUCAUUCACAAACAGAUCAGACAUCUCAUACCCUGAAGUACCUCUUACUCCCUGUUGACAAUGAGCACAGCAUCUGAAGUGAUGGCAUUUAUUUUUGGUCAAAUUCAUCCUUGGUGAAUCUGGAUUUGCAUAUUUGAACCUUGAGACUUAUAAAAAUUGUCCUGUUAUGAGCAUGAAGAAUAGGUGCAGUAACUUACAGUUCAUUUCAACAGGAAGAAAUUAUUUCUCGUGGAGUGUUAUCAUUAACAAUGAUAUAAAAAUAACCACAGAUUACCUUGUAUGUGUUGGGAAAUGUGCUGUGCUGGUACCCUAAACUUGCAAGUGCAAUAUAAAUUGUGUACAUUUUCUUUUCCCACUAACUGCUUUCUCUGCCAUAAAAAGAGUCUCUGACUGCUAAAGUAAAUUGAUUCCAUGUGCCAACCCCCACAAAAUUAGUGAAUCUACUAGUAGAUGCCCCUUUAUGGAAACUCGUAUCGCUUACUGCUCUGGGAAUAAGUCCGAUGGGGUGAUUGAAGACCAUCUUAUAUAGUGCACAAGCAAUUACUGCUGGAACAAGAACUCAUUUUAUACAAAGCUGUAUUUAUCCUUAGUUUGAAAUGACACUGCUUCAAAUUAUCCAAGUGACUCUGUAGAGAUUAUGUUCAGGCACUUAACUCAUUAACAUCACAGUCUCCAGAUGGGCCAGGACAGAUCACAUUGGUUUAUACAUCUAAUGAAUCACCAAAUACAGCAGCUCCUUUAAAAUUUUAUCUAAAUAUUUUCUAACCUAGCUAAGAGAUCACUCUGAUCUGUUUUAGUGAACUGCUUGCAAAUUCUAUACUGCCUUGGAAAGCAAUCCUUGGGCUGCUUUGUCUUUAAAGGUGCUGUAAUACUUGCUGAAUAUAGUUGGCCACAUUACAUGCCAAAUUAUGGCAACAACUGACAUCCCUGACUUUGAAUAAAUUUUGCUUCAUGUGUUUAAACUUCAAA